CAAAGCCGGAAACGCUCCGGCGCCACAGGAUGCGGCUGCGGUCGAUUAGGUAGACGGUGGGGUAACGGCCCACCGUGCCCAUAAUCGGUACGGGUUGUGAGAGCAAGAGCCCGGAGACGGAAUCUGAGACAAGAUUCCGGGCCCUACGGGGCGCAGCAGGCGCGAAACCUUUACACUGUACGAAAGUGCGAUAAGGGGACUCCGAGUGUGAAGGCAUAGAGCCUUCACUUUUGUACACCGUAAGGUGGUGUACGAAUAAGGACUGGGCAAGACCGGUGCCAGCCGCCGCGGUAAUACCGGCAGUCCGAGUGAUGGCCGAUAUUAUUGGGCCUAAAGCGUCCGUAGCUGGCUGAACAAGUCCGUUGGGAAAUCUGUCCGCUUAACGGGCAGGCGUCCAGCGGAAACUGUUCAGCUUGGGACCGGAAGACCUGAGGGGUACGUCUGGGGUAGGAGUGAAAUCCUGUAAUCCUGGACGGACCGCCGGUGGCGAAAGCGCCUCAGGAGAACGGAUCCGACAGUGAGGGACGAAAGCUAGGGUCUCGAACCGGAUUAGAUACCCGGGUAGUCCUAGCUGUAAACGAUGUCCGCUA
rnacentral:rRNA from 1 species